rnacentral:rRNA from 1 species
AUUAAAGAGUUCUAUAACUCCCAAACCCAUGUGAACAUACCUAACGUUGCCUCGGCAGGUCGCACCUACCUUGUAGCACCCUACCCUGUAGGGCCUACCCGGGAGGUGCGGGUAAGCCUGCCGGCGGCCCACCAAACUCUGUUUGAUAUUGAAUUCUGAACCUAUAACUAAAUAAGUUAAAACUUUCAACAACGGAUCUCUUGGUUCUGGCAUCGAUGAAGAACGCAGCGAAAUGCGAUAAGUAAUGUGAAUUGCAGAAUUCAGUGAAUCAUCGAAUCUUUGAACGCAUAUUGCGCCCAUUAGUAUUCUAGUGGGCAGGACCGUUCGAGCGUCAUUUCAACCCUUAAGCCUUCGUUGCUUAGUGUUGGGAGCCUACGGCAACGUAGCUCCUCAAAGUUAGUGGCGGAGUUGGUUCACACUCUAGACGUAGUAAUUUUUUAUCUCGCCUAUUAGUUGGACUAAUCCCCUGCCGUAAAACCCCCAAUUUAUCAAGGUUGACCUCGAAUCGGUUCAGACAAACUCGCUAAAUUGAAGCAUCUUAGUCAGCGAAGGAAAAGAAACCAACAGGGAUUGCCCUAGUAACGGCGAGUGAAGCGGCAACAGCUCAAAUUUGAAAUCUGGCCCUCGGGUCCGAGUU